AACGUACGCUGGCGGCACGCCUAACACAUGCAAGUCGAACGAAGUAGCAAUACUUAGUGGCAGACGGGUGAGUAACAUGUAGGUAUCUGCCCUUUGGCCUGGAAUAACACGAGGAAACUUGUGCUAAUACCGGAUAAGUCUUUACGGAGAAAGCUUUAUGCACCAUUGGAUGAGCCUGCACUUGAUUAGUUUGUUGGUGGGGUAAUGGCCUACCAAGACUGUGAUCAAUAGCUGAUUUGAGAGGAUGAUCAGCCACAUUGGGACUGAGACACGGCCCAAACUCCUACGGGAGGCAGCAGUGGGGAAUCUUGCACAAUGGAGGAAACUCUGAUGCAGCGAUGCCGCGUGAGUGAAGAAGGCCCUUGGGUUGUAAAGCUCUUUCGUCGGGGAAGAAAAUGACUGUACCCGAAUAAGAAGGUCCGGCUAACUUCGUGCCAGCAGCCGCGGUAAUACGAAGGGACCUAGCGUAGUUCGGAAUUACUGGGCUUGAAGAGUUCGUAGGUGGUUGAAAAAGUUAGUGGUGAAAUCCCAGAGCUUAACUCUGGAACUGCCAUUAAAACUUUUCAGCUAGAGUAUGAUAGAGGAAAGCAGAAUUUCUAGUGUAGAGGUGAAAUUCGUAGAUAUUAGAAAGAAUACCAAUUGCGAAGGCAGCUUUCUGGAUCAUUACUGACACUGAGGAACGAAAGCAUGGGUAGCGAAGAGGAUUAGAUACCCUCGUAGUCCAUGCCGUAAACGAUGUGUGUUAGACGUUGGAAAUUUAUUUUCAGUGUCGCAGGGAAACCGAUAAACACACCGCCUGGGGAGUACGACCGCAAGGUUAAAACUCAAAUGAAUUGACGGGGACCCGCACAAGUAGUGGAGCAUGUGGUUUAAUUCGAAGAUACGCGCAGAACCUUACCAACACUUGACAUGUUCGUCGCGACUCUAAGAGAUUAGAGUUUUCGGUUCGGCCGGACGAAACACAGGUGCUGCAUGGCUGUCGUCAGCUCGUGUCGUGAGAUGUUGGGUUAAGUCCCGCAACGAGCGCAACCCUCACUUUUAGUUGCCAUCAUUAAGUUGGGCACUCUGAAAGAACUGCCAGUGAUAAGCUGGAGGAAGGUGGGGAUGACGUCAAGUCCUCAUGGCCCUUACGUGUUGGGCUACACACGUGCUACAAUGGUAUCUACAACAGGAAGCAAGACUGCGAAGUUAAGCAAAUCCCUAAAAGAUACCUCAGUUCGGAUUGCACUCUGCAACUCGAGUGCAUGAAGCUGGAAUUACUAGUAAUCGUGGAUCAGCGUGCCACGGUGAAUGCGUUCCCGGGUCU
rnacentral:rRNA from 1 species